AACAAUCACUGCCUAGUGCCUUCACCUAGGGCUUUAACAGCUUCACUCCCAAGUCCCAAUUCCCAAAUCGAAGCUGCUCUCCGGCCUCCGCCAGUCCGCCACACUCUACGUCUCCUGUCUCCAUGUCAGUCCUCAUUCGACCUCAUUUCUCACUUCACCAGUUCAUCGCUGCCGUGCUGGUUCAUCGCUGCCAAGUGCUGAAGCCGAAGCACCAAUCACUGCUCUUCUCUGGCUCGCUUAGGUAAGUGCUCAUCUCUGGCAGUAAAAUGGCCAAGAUCGACUCGGAAAUUUGUUAUCUUGAAUUGGUAAGGGGACGAAAUCUGACUAUUUGAGCUUCCAAUUGCAAACUCUCACUUUUGUAGUAGUUUAGAUUAGAUUUGAUAUAACAUAAGCUUUGUAUUUUAUACACAAGAAAUCUCUCUCCAGUUGUGCAGCCUUUAAAAGUUAAGGCCUUGGGAAAAAAUUCCACCUUUUACCCGUUAGAAAAAUUAAAAAGGAAAAAACUUGCUAAAAUGAAAAUUUUACCUCUUUUUGUCCGUGGAGAUUCUCUUAAUUAAUGGGUCUUGCCAACAUUCUGGAUGAAGUUAUGCACUUGUGCUUCUUUGAAACUAGUCUAUUCUUGGCCUUGAAUAUUAUAUUGGCCUACAACCUAGAUUUAAGUCUUGAUCCAACAGGAGAAUAUUUUUGGGCUGAACAGGUUUCUGUCCAAAAGUAAUAUGAUAAAAUGUCCCUGACCCAAUUUCUUUGUGUGCAUUAUAUGCAAAUCUGGCGAAGUUAAAACUGAAUCUGUUUCAGUUCAUUAGUUCAGGCUGUUCAGCUGCUGAUUAAUAUGUUUAGUUUUUUUUCUAACUUGUAGUUGUAUUGUAUAUUGGCAGUUGGCACUCCAGAUUUGUAGUUGAUGAAUUUUGGCAUUUGUAAUGUGUGUGUAAUAACUCAGGGAAGCAGCGUUGCAAACUUAAGUUGAUAACAGGGUAUUAAAUUUUUUUUUAAUAGAUGAAUUCGGUUAGACCGAAUUGAUUACCAUUUUCGAAUUUGAAAUCAGUUGCGGAAUGAAUUCGGUUAUGACCAAUUUGAAAUUGAAAACGGUUUAGAUCUCUAUAGGUUGAAUAACCGAAUUCACCAAAUUCAUUGCACCAAAUGACCGCUUUUGCACCAAAUGCACACCCCUAAAUCAGUUGCGGAAUGAAUUCGGUUAUGACCAAUUUGAAAUUGAAAACGGUUUAGAUCUCUAUAGGUUGAAUAACCGAAUUCACCAAAUUCAUUGCACCAAAUGACCGCUUUUGCACCAAAUGCACACCCCUAGAUCUGGCCAUCUCCAGCCAUGGAGUGAUCGUUAGGUAAUUUUCUUGUUUUGUGUGCAGAUAUUUCAGUAUGUUGAAUUGUCGAUACACAAGUGCAUUAACGUGUCCAUUGUCUUGAAAGGAGAACUGAUUAUGUCUGUGUUAUCUUGACGUGCAUCUUUGUAUGCCACUACCAGCUUUAGCCUUGCAAUUUAUUGCCUGGAAUAGGUGUAAGCACUAUAAACUUGGACAAAUGUAUGAAUCUCUCUACUUUCUCCUUGAGUCCAAAAAUUGAUUUCUGGGGAACAUAUCUGACUCAUUCGACUUGAUUCAUUUAUCCUACUAAUACUUAAGAAGUAUUUUUACUUCCACUAUUCAAUGCUUUUCAUCUUAACAGGAUUUUUAUAAAAUUUUUGAGGAAAGGUUUUAGUGCUUUGAAGCAUUGUGCACCAAUUUUAUGUGCAGCCAUAUUUUGUUUAAUUACCUUUUCACCCUUUUGCUUGAGCUAAAGUUCACCUCUGAGAAGGGCAUUUCCUAGUAUAAUAUAGAAAGGGGUUUAUUUUACACUUGUUCUCUCUCUGAUUUACGACUGCCUAUUCAGGGUUUAUAGUGUCCUUCCUUUAUGAGUUUGAUAUGUCCUUAUUGCAAUGGGCACAAGUAUUCCGAAUGAAGCUUAGAGUUUUCGUAAAUGCACUCUGGUAUCCCCUUCUGCUUUCAACAGCGUGCUAAGCUGAGAUUAUUAAUGGCUAGCUGCUAUGUGAAUUUGCUGAAAUGUCCUGGAAGGUGCCAUUCUGACUCUUGAGCUGAGUUUUAAAAGCUCCUUGGAUUUUCCAUAAUUUGCUGUUGUAAUGAAGUUGUUCUUCAGUGUUCAUUAAAAUUGUAUUAAGCCAUGGGAUGGCUACUACCAUUUGUUGGUCAUUUAUAUCGGAUCCAAGAAACGGCUUGUUCUUCCUCUCUUACGAUCCGUUGAUUUCACAUUAUUUGCCACAAUUAGGUUUAGGUUGUUGGCUAUGCUUUAUUCGUCUUGUGUCUUUUGGUUUUAGGUCUUUUAAAGGAUCUUAGUUUCUUCUCUCUUUACCUCUAAUUUUAUCAAUUUUAUGCAAGUUUUUGUUACCGAAAAACUCAGAAAAAAUUACACACAAAAACUCACUGAACUGUGUGCCUUUAGAAUUGAAUAGGGAUAUGGCUCGUCAAGCAACAAGACCACUUGAUUGGAAAUUUGGCAUCAAAGCUGCUGCAAAACUCCAAUGGGAAAUCCAAGCAGCUGCGCCACUUCGGACCACCUCCUUGCACGGUCUUGGUUGACAAGAACACUAGCAUCAUCUGCCAGGGCAUCGCCAGUGAAAACAGAAGCUUACAAACUGAACAAGCCACCAAAUUCGGCACGAUUAUGCUAUUGUUGGAUAUUUUACUCCUAAUGGCGAGCCAAAGGCAGAAAAGAAGCUGAUGGGGGCAGGCUGCUUGGAAUGAAAGGACGCAGGGAAAGAAAAAGGAUGGAAGAUGAGUAAAUGGAACAAGCUGGGAGAAAGAAGCUGUCUGCUUCAGCCAUUUGCAUCUACUACUGAGAAGGUUCUAAGAAGGUUCAAAAAAACUGAAAAUUGUCCUGUUCUAAAAUUGACAAUGGAGAUUCAUCAUGGAAUCAUUUUUUGUUCUGCCUUUUAGACUUCAGAGUGCUUCAGGUGCGGCUUUAGCAGAUUGGCAUUUGAGGACCAGCUUGAGGUUAGUCCUGGAUUUCCUGUGCUUAUGAUUAUUUUACUGGGCAGUCAUGUUUACUAUCUAAUCUUGCUGAAUAGCUGUGUAUGUUCUUCUAAACUUUGAACAAAUGCAUUACAUAUUUGGCUGUCAAACCAGCUUGUUUAAUUUUUUGAUAUUACAACAGUUCAAAGCUGUUUGUUAGAUGCUCGAUAUCUUCAAAUGUUUGUGAAGAUGGUGAAGUUUUUCUUGCACUAUAGGAGGUAGCACUGUAUAUAGCUUACAAGUUCUCAAUUGUGUGUACAUUGGUAUUAUUCAUAGCUAGUGCUGGCCAUGUGAUUUAAUCUUUAGCAUUUUGUAAAUAACGUCUGGACCAUAUAGCUAACACAUAAAUUCAGAUGCUGUAAUUUAUGUAUUCAAACUGCUGAAAUAUGAGCCUGAUGAAAUAUGAACCUGAUUACAGCUAUGCUAUCAAGCUGUUCCUGCAACUAUUUGUGCAUAUAUUCUCUCUUUCUAGUAGAUAUGGUUUUGAUUUUUAAUACUGGUUUAGAUAACACUUGCAUUUUUCUUAGCCUCUAUUUUUCCAAUCUAGUGAUGUACUAAACUGGGUUUGAUCACUAUUUGUCUGUGAUGGUCUCCGAUUAUUUUGGAGUGUGUUCCAAUCACAUGCUAGGUAUGUCAUGGAGGCAUUAUGGAAGUGAUCUCCAGUCAUGAGGUUCUUGGUGAAUAGACGUCCUUAAGUAUGACACAUACUUUUUGUAAGUUCAUGCUAGCUAUGUCUUGCACCUCCCGUCCUCUCUGAUCAAACGUGGUACGGAAUUGACAUGUUGAACUAAGAUGAAAUUUUGGAAGAUCAUACAUCUCAUUCUGUAUAGGGUGACCGGAGAUAUGUGGUGCUCAAUCGGAGUUGCUCGCUAGUCAAGAAAAAUUCCUCCCCUAACUUUUUAGUUAAAAUUUGGACAAUGACUAGCUUUCUAUAGAUGUCCCAUGCCCCCAGCAUAGUUUGUAAACUUUCUUGCAUGUUUCAAUGAAGAUUGUGUUCUAUUCUGGUUCUCAGACAAUUUUAGUAGAAAAUCUAUUUGUUUUUGAUGGUUA